GUGCUCACUUUGGCAGCAAAUAUACUAAAAUCGGAACAAGAGAGAUUAGCGUGGCCCCUGCGCAAGGAGAUGACACACAAAUUCGUGAUGUGUUUCACAUUUUU
ensembl:snRNA U6 U6 spliceosomal RNA